rnacentral:lncRNA from 1 species
UGCCACUGCUUGUUUACUAGUGAUGCUUGUGUUGUUCGGAAGCACUACAUCUGGAGGUAUGUUCUCUCUUUUGUUGUUUAUGUAGAGUUCCUAGGGCAUAUAUUAUUGCAAGAAAGAACAUUGAAAAAUAUAAAUAAGAUUUCAAGAUCGUAUCAUCAAGAGUUUUCUCAAAUAGUAUGUUGAUGCACAUUUUGCGUAUGUCAUUUACGAUUUGGAGAUCAUACUACUUUUAUGUAGCCUUGUAAGAAACAUGUCAUUACAAUCAAUGGCUCGCCUUUAUGAUAUACUUUUAUGUACGCAGAGAAAUGCGCGGUGGUUCAAUUUCCUCUCGUGAUCUGCAACAAUCUAGCAUGCAAGCAUGAAUGUUUGUUUUGGGGCCAAGGCAAGAAGGUUCGCGGAUUCUGGUGCAAUCGGAUGCUCCCUGCAACUGCAAUAUUUGCUGGGCGAAUUAACUUAAUUGAUAUGGUAAACACAAUUAAUGUUAUCAAUAAAGAAUUCAUAACUUUUUAUCCCUGAUCAUCCAUUUAUGCAUGGGAUUGUAUUCUUGCGGGGGCACCAUGGGAAGCAGAAUCUUAAUCUAUAUUGCAUCAUGGACAAACUUCCUAAAGAUGAAUAUCAUAUAGUUGUGAACAAAUAUAGCGAACGAAACUGAUAUGUACAUUAGUUCUAUUUAGCAAGCAGACUUCUGUAUUGAAAAAAAAUUAAAAAAAAUUCGCCCUCGUUUGGGAAGAGGAAGUCAUCAUCUAGUGUGUCGCCUGCAAAUGUGG